rnacentral:rRNA from 1 species
GCUCAGGAUGAACGCUGGCGGCGUGCUUAACACAUGCAAGUCGAACGGAAAGGCCUCNAGCUUGCUGGGGUACNUCGAGUGGCGAACGGGUGAGUAACACGUGGGUGAUCUGCCCUGCACUUUGGGAUAAGCUUGGGAAACUGGGUCUAAUACCGAAUAUGACCACUUCUUGGAUGUUGUGGUGGAAAGCUUUUGCGGUGUGGGAUGAGCCUGCGGCCUAUCAGCUUGUUGGUGGGGUAAUGGCCUACCAAGGCGGCGACGGGUAUCCGGCCUGAGAGGGUGUACGGACACAUUGGGACUGAGAUACGGCCCAGACUCNUACGGGAGGCAGCAGUGGGGAAUAUUGCACAAUGGGCGCAAGCCUGAUGCAGCGACGCCGCGUGGGGGAUGAAGGCNUUCGGGUUGUAAACUCCUUUCGCUAUCGACGAAGCCACUUGUGGUGACGGUAGGUAGAUAAGAAGCACCGGCUAACUACGUGCCAGCAGCCGCGGUAAUACGUAGGGUGCAAGCGUUAUCCGGAAUUACUGGGCGUAAAGAGCUCGUAGGUGGUUUGUCGCGUCGUCUGUGAAAUCCCGGGGCUUAACUUCGGGCGUGCAGGCGAUACGGGCAUAACUUGAGUGCUGUAGGGGAGAC